UACAGAUGGGAAAAUUGAGGCUCAGACAGAGGAAUGGUUUGCCUUGCCCAGGAUCCUCCACCUAGUGAGUGGAGAGCAGGUUUUCAUUUGUCAUAUGAAAGGGUCCCCCAUUUAACACUUGCUGGUUCAGUCCACCCAAGGGACUCCCAGCCUGGCCAGAAGCUCCCCUCACAGCCUGCUUUCCCCUCAAGCUGUUCCCUUAAAGUGACUGGCAACAAUGGAUCCUUUCUAUUCACGAAUUCCCGGGCCUGUAUUGGGGCUGUGGUGGGCUCCUAGGUGCUUCUCUGCGCUUUCCAAAUGGUGACAAUGAUGUGAACCCCUGCGGCAUAAGGGCAAAGCUGAAUCCAAGGGGAUCCGGAGCCACUGUAGAUUCUCAAACAGGGUAAAUUAAAGGCAAGAAGAACUUGGGGUCAGAAUGGAGGACCUCAGAACUGGAAGGUGCCUCAUGUAAUUGGGCCCAGAGAAGCCAGAGGGUUGCUGGAUUUGUGCCCUGAUCACUGCUUAACAAUUAAACAGUUGUGUAAACUUUCC
ensembl:lncRNA